rnacentral:lncRNA from 10 species
CGCCGCUCGUGCUGUUGCUGGAAAGCGAGCUCGCUGUAGACCGGCCGCGACACCAUGUAGCUGCAGCUGUACUCGGGGAGCUGCGGCGGCUCCGACCUGCCGCCUGGCGCUGCCAUGACCUGCGAGCCAGAGGACAGCGAGGAGGGAGGACACGCGGGAAGGAAUAAACUGGACUACAUGGAAAUCAAGACUAGAAGAGAGGGAGGAGGAGCUGGAGCUAUCCUACCUCAUCAGUGUUUUGUCUUCUGUUGGGAUGAACUUUGUUAAAACUAAUGCAUGGUUAAGAUGAAAGGCAGAAGGAAGGGUUUGAUAAACCAGAACAUUCUCGCCUGAUUGUUAGUGUUCUGAAGUAAAUACAGAAGAGGCUCCAAAAUACAGACCUCUGUACAUCAACCUUCCGUAAUCCACCUGCCUUGCAUAUGCAGACCAUGACAAUUCUACGAGCUCCUGGAAACAGAACUCAGAACUCCUCCCCAGAGAACCCUGAUGCAAAUUCUCUGAAAUGGUAGUCAGCAUGUGCGUUUUCCUGAGAAGUGAAUGAGUCAACAGCUUUCAACAGAUCUUCAAAGGCUUACUUCACCCAAUGAAGUUAAGAACCACUAAAGAAGAAACCUAAAAGGAAAAUCCAGAGAUGGGAUCUUGCUAUUUUGCCCAGGCUGGACUUGAACUCCCAGUCUCCAGAAUAGCUGGGACUAUAGGUGCACACCACCACACCUGACAGAGUAUCUAUGCUUUUGAGUGACUACGUGUGCUACAAGAAUGAUUUAAUUGAAUCCUUCGUUUAUUUAACUUAAGAGCAGUCAAUCUUGCUACAUUAUUUUUGUCUGAGAGCGAAUAUUGUGGUAUAAAUUUUUUCUUUUUUUUUUUUUUUUUACAAUUUAAAAUGUUCUCAAAUCAGAAGAAUUGCAAAAGAAUGCAAACAUGUUGGCUGGGCGCUGUGGCUCACAGUGUAAUCCCAACACUUUGAGAAGCUGAGGCGGGAGGAUCACUUGAGCCAGGCCUAAUCCUGAGCUUUUAUUUCAUUAUGCGUGUUAAUUUUCUCAAGAUAGCAAAUGCUAAAUUUUUGUCAUACUUAUACAAAAAGAGAACUGAACUGAACUUUCUUUCUAUAUUUCUGAUCUCUUCUUCUCUGAGCAACUUAUUGGGCUUAUUCUCAGUAAUCAUACAGUUUUGC